rnacentral:rRNA from 1 species
UACGUAGGGACCAAGCGUUGUUCGGAUUUACUGGGCGUAAAGGGCGCGUAGGCGGCCAAUUAAGUCAUCUGUGAAAUCUCCGAGCUUAACUCGGAACGGUCAGGUGAUACUGAUCUGCUAGAGUGCGGAAGGGGCAAUCGGAAUUCUUGGUGUAGCGGUGAAAUGCGUAGAUAUCAAGAGGAACACCUGAGGUGAAGACGGGUUGCUGGGCCGACACUGACGCUGACAGCGCGAAAGCCAGGGGAGCAAACGGG